rnacentral:rRNA from 1 species
UUAGAUAUUAUUGAUUAAGGGUUGGGCCUGCCCGGUGAAUUUUAAACGGCCGCAGUUAGUAGCUGUGCUAAGGUAGCGUAGUAAGUUGUCCUUUAAAUGAGGAAAGGAAUGAAUGGUUUGACGUAAGAAAUUCUGUCUCUUGAGGAAGUAAUGAAAUUUCCUUUCUAGUGCAAAGGCUAGAAUAAAAUUAAAAGACGAGAAGACCCUUUCGAGCUUAAUUAAAUAAUAUACUACCAUAUUAGGAAAAUUUAGUUGGGGCAACUAAGGAGCAAAAGUAGAUUCCUUGAAGUAAUAUGGAUCCAAAAAUUUUGAAAUAGAGAAAAAGCUACCGUAGGGAUAACAGCGUUAUCUUUUCUGAGAGAACAAAUUGAAGGGAAGGUUUGCGACCUCGAUGUUGAAUUAAAAUUUCCGUUGGGCGCAGAAGCUUAAAUGGUAAGACUGUUCGUCUUUUAAAAUUU